rnacentral:rRNA from 1 species
AGGGUUUGAUUAUGGCUCAGGAUGAACGCUGGCGGCGUGCUUAACACAUGCAAGUCGAACGAAGCAUUUAAGACAGAUUACUUCGGUUUGAAGUCUUUUAUGACUGAGUGGCGGACGGGUGAGUAACGCGUGGGUAACCUGCCUCAUACAGGGGGAUAGCAGCUGGAAACGGCUGGUAAUACCGCAUAAGCGCACAGUACCACAUGGUACAGUGUGAAAAACUCCGGUGGUAUGAGAUGGACCCGCGUCUGAUUAGCUUGUUGGCGGGGUAACGGCCCACCAAGGCGACGAUCAGUAGCCGACCUGAGAGGGUGACCGGCCACAUUGGGACUGAGACACGGCCCAG